rnacentral:rRNA from 12 species
UUCAGGGCAUACUGUCCUGCCAGCGCCCGAUCCCGUCCAAUCUCGGAACCUAAGCAAAACCGGGCCUGGUUAGUACUUGGAUGCGAGACCGCCUGGGAAUACCAGGUGCUGUUGGCU